UACAGAGGGGGCAAGCGUUGUUCGGAAUUACUGGGCGUAAAGGGCGCGUAGGCGGCCGUGUAAGUCACUUGUGAAAUCCCGGGGCUCAACUCCGGGGCUGCAGGUGAGACUGCAUGGCUAGAGCACGGUAGAGGCGAGUGGAAUUCCCGGUGUAGCGGUGGAAUGCGUAGAUAUCGGGAAGAACACCGGUGGCGAAGGCGGCUCGCUGGGCCGUUGCUGACGCUGAGGCGCGAAAGCGUGGGGAGCAAACAGG
rnacentral:rRNA from 1 species